rnacentral:rRNA from 1 species
UACGUAGGGUGCGAGCGUUGUCCGGAAUUAUUGGGCGUAAAGAGCUCGUAGGCGGUGUGUCACGUCGUUCGUGAAAACCUGCAGCUUAACUGUGGGCGUGCGGUCGAUACGGGCAUCACUGGAGUUCGGCAGGGGAGACUGGAAUUCCUGGUGUAGCGGUGAAAUGCGCAGAUAUCAGGAAGAACACCGAUGGCGAAGGCAGUUCUCUGGGACGGUACUGACGCUGAGACGCGAAAGCGUGGGGAGCAAACAGG